CUACUUAUGCCGGCGACCGGCGGACGGGUGCGUAACGCGUAUGUAACCUACCUUUGACAGGGGGGUAACAUCGAGAAAUUGGUACUAAUACCCCAUAACAUCACCGGAGGCAUCUUCGGUGGUUGAAAACUCAGGUGGUCAGAGAUGGACAUGCGUUGUAUUAGCUAGUUGGUGAGGUAACGGCUCACCAAGGCGACGAUACAUAGGGGGACUGAGAGGUCAACCCCCCACAUUGGUACUGAGACACGGACCAAACCCCUACGGGAGGCAGCAG
rnacentral:rRNA from 1 species